rnacentral:rRNA from 1 species
AACGAACGCUGGCGGCAUGCCUAACACAUGCAAGUCGAACGAGACCUUCGGGUCUAGUGGCGCACGGGUGCGUAACGCGUGGGAACCUGCCCUUAGGUUCGGAAUAACUCCCCGAAAGGGGUGCUAAUACCGGAUAAUGUCUUCGGACCAAAGAUUUAUCGCCUUUGGAUGGGCCCGCGUUGGAUUAGCUAGUUGGUAGAGUAAAAGCCUACCAAGGCGACGAUCCAUAGCUGGUCUGAGAGGAUGAUCAGCCACACUGGGACUGAGACACGGCCCAGACUCCUACGGGAGGCAGCAGUGGGGAAUAUUGGACAAUGGGCGAAAGCCUGAUCCAGCAAUGCCGCGUGAGUGAUGAAGGCCUUAGGGUUGUAAAGCUCUUUUACCCGGGAUGAUAAUGACAGUACCGGGAGAAUAAGCCCCGGCUAACUCCGUG